GCAUCCAGCUCUCUCUAUAUAUAUUCUAAUCUCUUGAAUAUGUUCAGGGAUGAGGGGAAGAUUUCACGAAAGCUCAGGGGUUGUGUUAAUAUGCUCAGGGAUGAGGUGAAGGUUUUCCCAAUAAUUUGUAAUGUUUGUCGACUUGUAGGUUCAGUUGAAAGUUGACUGCCAUUUGACAUUUUCGUAUGUUCACCUUGUCUUUUUCUUCUAUAUUCGACAAUCUGAAGUUCAGUUGAAAGUUGACUUGUAUCCUUUGAUUUCUUUGUUGUUGUUGUUGUUUUUUUUUUUUAAUAUUUUAAUGCCUUUUAAUGCUUUACAUCUGUUUUUGUGUCAAUCGUGUCCGUGGAGGGCAAAAGGAUUGCGAGUAACUGGUUGGAGGGUAAUUCUUUGUUGAAACACUGGUAAGAUCAAGGCUGUUGAGAUGCGUCGCGGUUCUCUUGAAUAUAAUAGUUCCUUAUUCUUUUUUUUUCUUUUCUCUUUUAUCUUGAACAAAUUUUUUUGGAUUGAAGAGAAUUGUUGACCAUUUUAUUGUUUUGUCAGAUCAAACAUGGCAUUUACUUGAUAGAUAGUUGAAGGCAUGUAGGAAAUUUAGACGCCUUGCACACAAGCAAUUAUUUCUCUGUUUCUCUCUCGCUAUAUAUAUUUGAUUUUUUUGCAUCCUGCUCUCUAUAUAUAUUUAAUCUCUUGAAUUUGUUCAGGAAUGAGGUGAAGGUUUCACGAAGGCUCAAGGAUUGUGUUAAUAUGCUCAGGGACAAAGGCAUGAGACUUUCAAUGCAGUGAAGUUUAUGGCCGUCCCCUUUUUAUAUUGGAUUUCCUGUUAUAGGUCGAGCUGGAUGAGUUUUGAGAGUUCCCCAGAUGUUAUGAAAGAAGUAAACAUGCAGCAUGAGCGACACUGCUGCUUAGUCAACUUUGGGUUAAAAAAGAAAGCUUGAUGGGUGUGAAGAGGGUAAAUUGGGAUAUGUGUAGAGCCUGGGUUUUCACUUGGGGUUUUUACCAAAGGAAGUGAUUUGAAGAUUAUGUUGGGACUCGUGUAAAAGGAUAGACUUAUGAAAGGUUCAUUUUAUUGGUGGAUUUCAAGGAAAAUGUUAUUGCUGGAGGAAUUUGUGCUUUGCUUUUAGUCCUUUUCGUUGAAACAUUC